UUGUUUCAGAAAGAACAUCACAAUGUCUCUUGUCAAGAUUGUUGUUGCUGCUAUCGCUGCUGUCUGUGUCUUCUCAGGGAUGGCUCAAGCUGGUCAUGUAGCGGGACCUGGAUGCCAUGGAUUGUGUCCUGGAGCUGAAGAAGACGAUGAGUAGAAUGCCAACAAGUCAUCGAGUGAUUCACGUGAAGAUGUAGACACCGAUUAGAACAAAAAUCAAUGUUAUACUUGAAACAAUACAUGCUAUAACUGAAUAUGAA